rnacentral:sRNA from 1 species
UGCCACAGGCAACGGCCCGAAGGGCGAGGCGCUUUAGCGCCGAGUAAUCCUUCCCCCACCACCA